GAUGAAGAACGUAGCGAAAUGCGAUACGUAAUGUGAAUUGCAGAAUUCAGUGAAUCAUCGAAUCUUUGAACGCAUAUUGCGCUCUCUGGUAUUCCGGAGAGCAUGCUUGUUUGAGUAUCAGUAAACACCUCAACUUCCAUAUCUUUUUUGAAAUGGGAGUUGGACUUGAGUGAUCCCAACGCUUUUCCUCACCGAAAAGUGGCGGGUUACUUGAAAUGCAGGUGCAGCUGGACUUUUCUCUGAGCUAUAAGCAUAUCUAUUUAGUCUGCCUAAAAAACAGAUUAUUACCUUUGCUGCAGCUAACAUAAAGGAGAUUAGUUCUUGUGCUGACUGAUGCAGGAUUCACAAAGACGGCUUCGGCCGACUUUGUAAACUCGAUCUCAAAUCAAGUAAGACUACCCGCUGAACUUAAGCAUAUCAAUAAGCGAAGGA
rnacentral:misc_RNA from 1 species